UGGGGAAUAUUGGACAAUGGGCGCAAGCCUGAUCCAGCAAUGCCGCGUGUGUGAAGAAGGUCUUCGGAUUGUAAAGCACUUUCGACGGGGACGAUGAUGACGGUACCCGUAGAAGAAGCCCCGGCUAACUUCGUGCCAGCAGCCGCGGUAAUACGAAGGGGGCUAGCGUUGCUCGGAAUGACUGGGCGUAAAGGGCGCGUAGGCGGAUUGUACAGUCAGAUGUGAAAUUCCCGGGCUCAACCUGGGGGCUGCAUUUGAUACGUGCGAUCUUGAGUUCGGAAGAGGGUCGUGGAAUUCCCAGUGUAGAGGUGAAAUUCGUAGAUAUUGGGAAGAACACCGGUGGCGAAGGCGGCGACCUGGUCCGAUACUGACGCUGAGGCGCGAAAGCGUGGGGAGCAAACA
rnacentral:rRNA from 1 species